ACUACCUCAAAUCUGAAUGUGGAGUUUGUAAGGACGGGCUACGGGAAAGAUACGGUUAAAGUUCUUCACAUCCAUCGUGAAGGAUCUCAUCACCGCAUUACUGAGCUGAUUGCAGACGUUCAGUUAACCCUGAAGACCCAAAAAGACUAUCUGACUGGAGACAACUCUGAUAUCAUCCCCACUGACACAAUCAAAACACUGUCCAUGCUCUUGCCAAAAUAAAAGGAAUCAAGACCCUCGAGGGCUUUGCCCUGGAUAUUUGUGAACAUUUCCUCACAGCAUUAAUCAUGUCACAAGAGUGAGG